GCCGGGGUCGCCUAGCCUGGUAGGGCGCGCGCCUGGAAUUUGCAAAAACCAUAAAGCGCGUACUCGCAAGGGUUCGAGAGUUCAAAUCUCUCUCCCGGCGCCU
rnacentral:tRNA from 1 species